rnacentral:rRNA from 1 species
UUGCUCUUCAACGAGGAAUUCCUAGUAAGCGCAAGUCAUCAGCUUGCGUUGAUUACGUCCCUGCCCUUUGUACACACCGCCCGUCGCUACUACCGAUUGAAUGGCUUAGUGAGGCCUCAGGAUUGGUUUAGGGCCGGAGGCAACUCCAGCCUGGAACCGAGAAUCUGGUCAAACUUGGUCAUUUAGAGGAAGUAAAAGUCGUAACAAGGUUUCCGUAGGUGAACCUGCGGAAGGAUCAUUACAGUUUAGGCGUGUGCUUAAGUGCACCGCUCAUCUACACUGUGCGUACGCAACGUAUAUCUCCGGGGACGCAAGUCUCCGGAACUCAACUCAACAAGCAGUUUUUGAUGUCAGUCAUGAAUUAUACAAAUAUUCAAAACUUUCAACAACGGAUCUCUUGGUUCUCGCAUCGAUGAAGAACGCAGCGAAAUGCGAUAAGUAAUAUGAAUUGCAGAUUUUCGUGAAUCAUCGAAUCUUUGAACGCACAUUGCGCCUUCUGGUAUUCCAGAAGGCAUGCCUGUUUGAGCGUCAUUUCUCUCUCAAGGAGCAAUCUUUGGUGUUGAGCGACACUCGUAUGAGUCAGCUUGAAAGGAAUUGGCAGUGGGUCGGCGAGUUGACACUUUCGUUAACUUCAAUGUAUUAGGGCAACCAUUCAUUGAGGGAAGGCUAAACAACCCGGGCUGCGGCUUGACAACUUCUCAUGUUUGACCUCAAAUCAGGUAGGACUACCCGCUGAACUUAAGCAUAUCAAUAAGCGGAGGA